rnacentral:rRNA from 1 species
CGUGGGCAUUUUAGACCUAAGACCAAUCCGGGGCUUCCCGGCUUCCGGCGAUUCUAAUAAACUUGCGAAUCGCUUUUUUUUGCGAUGUAUCAUUCAAGUUUCUGACCUAUCAGCUUUGGACGGGAGGGGAUUGGCCUACCGGGGCAGCGACGGGUAACGGGGAAUUAGGGUUCGAUUCCGGAGAGGGAGCCUGAGAAACGGCUACCACAUCUAAGGAAGGCAGCAGGCGCGCAAAUUACCCAAUCCUGACACAGGGAGGGAGUGACAAGAAAUAACAAUACGGGGCUUAAUGGCUUGUAAUUGGAAUGAUGGGAAUUUAAACCUCUUCCAAAGUAUCAAUUGGAGGGCAAGUCUGGUGCCAGCAGCCGCGGUAAUUCCAGCUCCAAUAGCGUAUAUUAAAAUUGUUGCAGUUAAAAAGCUCGUAAUUGAAUUUCUGCUGCAUUACAUAUCUCUUGUUUGAGUUUGUUUUUGUGGCUUAUUUCGGAUUGAUUUUUUUAUCUUUCCGGAUGAUUACUUAGAAAAAAUUAGAGUGCUCAAAGCAGGCUUUUGCCUUGAAUAGUUUAGCAUGGAAUAAUAAAGUAGGACUUUGGUUCUAUUUUGUUGGUUUUAGGUACCAAAGUAAUGGUUAAUAGGAACAGGUGGGGGCAUUCGUAUUUAACUGUCAGAGGUGAAAUUCUUAUAUUUGUUAAAGACGAACUACUGCGAAGCUUUUCCAAAAAAAAAAAAAAA